GCCUACGUGGCUCAGUCAGUUGAGCGUCUGACUUCGGCUCAGGUCGUGAUCUCACGGUUUGUGAGUUCGAGCCCCCUCUUGGGCU
rnacentral:tRNA from 1 species